GUAGGUGGCCAAUUAAGUCAAAUGUGAAAUCCCCGAGCUUAACUUGGGAAUUGCAUUCGAUACUGGUUGGCUAGAGUAUGGGAGAGGAUGGUAGAAUUCCAGGUGUAGCGGUGAAAUGCGUAGAGAUCUGGAGGAAUACCGAUGGCGAAGGCAGCCAUCUGGCCUAAUACUGACACUGAGGUGCGAAAGCAUGGGGAGCAAACAGGAUUAGAUACCCUGGUAGUCCAUGCCGUAGACGAUGUCUACUAGCCGUUGGGGCCUUUGAGGCUUUAGUGGCGCAGCUAACGCGAUAAGUAGACCGCCUGGGGAGUACGGUCGCAAGACUAAAACUCAAAUGAAUUGACGGGGGCCCGCACAAGCGGUGGAGCAUGUGGUUUAAUUCGAUGCAACGCGAAGAACCUUACCUGGUCUUGACAUAGUAAGAACUUUCCAGAGAUGGAUUGGUGCCUUCGGGAACUUACAUACAGGUGCUGCAUGGCUGUCGUCAGCUCGUGUCGUGAGAUGUUGGGUUAAGUCCCGCAACGAGCGCAACCCUUUUCCUUAUUUGCCAGCGGGUUAAGCCGGGAACUUUAAGGAUACUGCCAGUGACAAACUGGAGGAAGGCGGGGACGACGUCAAGUCAUCAUGGCCCUUACGACCAGGGCUACACACGUGCUACAAUGGUCGGUACAAAGGGUUGCUACCUCGCGAGAGGAUGCUAAUCUCAAAAAGCCGAUCGUAGUCCGGAUUGGAGUCUGCAACUCGACUCCAUGAAGUCGGAAUCGCUA
rnacentral:rRNA from 1 species